rnacentral:rRNA from 1 species
GACGAACGCUGGCGGCGUGCUUAACACAUGCAAGUCGAACGGAAAGGCCCUGCUUUUGUGUGGUGCUCGAGUGGCGAACGGGUGAGUAACACGUGAGUAACCUGCCCUUGACUUUGGGAUAACUUCAGGAAACUGGGGCUAAUACCGGAUAGGAGCUCCUGCUGCAUGGUGGGGGUUGGAAAGUUUCGGCGGUUGGGGAUGGACUCGCGGCUUAUCAGCUUGUUGGUGGGGGAGUGGCUUACCAAGGCUUUGACGGGUAGCCGGCCUGAGAGGGUGACCGGCCACAUUGGGACUGAGAGACGGCGCAGACUCGUACGGGAGGCAGCAGUGGGGAAUAUUGCCCAAUGGGCGGAAGCCUGAUGCAGCAACGUCGCGUGCGGGAUGAAGGCCUUCGGGUUGUAAACCGCUUUAGCCUGUGACGAAGCGUGAGUGACGGUAAUGGGUAAAGAAGCACCGGCUAACUACGUG